rnacentral:misc_RNA from 1 species
GUGAAUCAUCAAAUUUUUGAACGCAUAUUGCACUCUCUGGUAUUCCGGGGGGUAUGCCUGUUUGAGGGUAAUGAAAAAGAAUCAAUAACCACUUCUUUUUGGUCAAAGGAAAUGAGCUCUCCGCGUUUAUAGCGGUAGCUUGAAAUAAAUGGUUAAGUCUCAUCUUAGUCGAGAUGCGUAAUAAUAUUAUUUCGCGAAAUCUUCUCUCG